GCCUGGGUCCCGAGUCCGGCCGCCAGGGGCUCUCGCGGCGGCAGGAGCCCGUAAGGGGGCAGCCCGGUCCCUGCUGUGCCGUGAGGAGCUGGGAGCCCGGACUCCUGGGUUCUCUCCCGGCUCUGGGAGGGGAACAAGGACGCGUGGGUACAAGAGGGCUCGGGCCAGCCUGUGGCAAGCUUGCACCCAUGUCCCUUCCCAGCACCAUGGGGAGAACAGCUGCCUCAUACGAAUGCCGUGUUCUGGCCUCAGUGCUGGCGCUGAAGGAGCUGGCGCCCAGGCUGGCUGCCCCCACCCACCGCCCUGCACACCACAUGUGUUCCCUCCCUGGGUUCCUGGAGAGAUACACAGAAGCAAG